rnacentral:lncRNA from 1 species
UUUUUAUCUAAAAUUUGGACAAUUCCCUAUGUUAUUUAUUUGUUAAAUAGGUACUGAAAAAUUAAACAUUAUUUGAUGAAUUAUGGUGAAUAAUUACAUUUUGGGUCAGCAGUCCAUUGGAAAACAAUGCCCCUAUUUUGUAAUUUUCUCUUCCUCCUUCCUGUUUCUCUGUCUCUAUUUCCUUAUUCUCAGUCUAUCCUUCCUGGUCCUUUUGUCCCUAUUUCCUUAUUCUCCAUCUCUCCUUCCUGGUCCUUUGUCCCUAUUUCCUUCUUCUCUGCCUCUCCUUCCUGGUCCUUUGUCCCUAUUUCCUUCUUCUCUGCCUCUCCUUCCUGGUCCUUUGUCCCUAUUUCCUUAUUUUCCAUCUCUCCUUCCUGGUCCUUUGUCCCUAUUUCCUUCUUCUCUGCCUCUCCUUCCUGGUCCUUUGUCCCUAUUUCCUUAUUCUCCAUCUCUCCUUCUUGGUCCUUUUGUCCCUAUUUCCUUAUUCUUCAUCUCUCCUUCCUGGUCCUUUGUCCCUAUUUCCUUCUUCUCUGCCUCUCCUUCCUGGUCCUUUGUCCCUAUUUCCUUAUUCUCCAUCUCUCCUUCUUGGUCCUUUUGUCCCUAUUUCCUUAUUCUUCAUCUCUCCUUCCUGGUCCUUUGUCCCUAUUUCCUUCUUCUCUGCCUCUCCUUCCUGGUCCUUUGUCCCUAUUUCCUUAUUUUCCAUCUCUCCUUCCUGGUCCUUUGUCCCUAUUUCCUUCUUCUCUGCCUCUCCUUCCUGGUCCUUUGUCCCUAUUUCCUUAUUCUCCAUCUCUCCUUCUUGGUCCUUUUGUCCCUAUUUCCUUAUUCUUCAUCUCUCCUUCCUGGUCCUUUGUCCCUAUUUCCUUCUUCUCUGCCUCUCCUUCUUGGUCCUUUGUCCCUAUUUCCUUAUUCUUCAUCUCUCCUUCCUGGUCCUUUGUCCCUAUUUCCUUCUUCUCUGCCUCUCCUUCCUGGUCCUUUGUCCCUAUUUCCUUAUUUUCCAUCUCUCCUUCCUGGUCCUUUGUCCCUAUUUCCUUCUUCUCUGCCUCUCCUUCCUGGUCCUUUGUCCCUAUUUCCUUAUUCUCCAUCUCUCCUUCUUGGUCCUUUUGUCCCUAUUUCCUUAUUCUUCAUCUCUCCUUCCUGGUCCUUUGUCCCUAUUUCCUUCUUCUCUGCCUCUCCUUCCUGGUCCUUUGUCCCUAUUUCUUUAUUCUUCAUCUCUCCUUCCUGGUCCUUUGUCCCUAUUUCCUUCUUCUCUGCCUCUCCUUCCUGGUCCUUUGUCCCUAUUUCCUUAUUCUCCAUCUCUCCUUCUUGGUCCUUUGUCCCUAUUUCCUUCUUCUCUGCCUCUCCUUCCUGGUCCUUUGUCCCUAUUUCCUUCUUCUCCAUCUCUCCUUCUUGGUCCUUUUGUCCCUAUUUCCUUAUUCUUCAUCUCUCCUUCCUGGUCCUUUGUCCCUAUUUCCUUCUUCUCU